rnacentral:rRNA from 1 species
UCAGGACGAACGCUGGCGGCGUGCUUAACACAUGCAAGUCGAGCGGAAAGGCCCUUCGGGGUACUCGAGCGGCGAACGGGUGAGUAACACGUGAGCAACCUGCCCUAGGCUUUGGGAUAACCCUCGGAAACGGGGGCUAAUACCGGAUAUUACUGCUGGACGCAUGUUUGGUGGUGGAAAGUUUUUCGGCCUGGGAUGGGCUCGCGGCCUAUCAGCUUGUUGGUGGGGUGAUGGCCUACCAAGGCGACGACGGGUAGCCGGCCUGAGAGGGCGACCGGCCACACUGGGACUGAGACACGGCCCAGACUCCUACGGGAGGCAGCAGUGGGGAAUAUUGCACAAUGGGCGGAAGCCUGAUGCAGCGACGCCGCGUGAGGGAUGACGGCCUUCGGGUUGUAAACCUCUUUCAGCAGGGACGAAG